AUACUUACCUGAAAGGGGAGAACACCAUGAUCAUCUAGAUGGUUUUUCCAAAGUGAGGCUUAUCUAUUGCUCUCUGGAUGUGCUAAUCACUGCAAUUUCCCCAAAUAUGGGAAAGUCAACUGCAUAAUUUGUAGUUGAGGGAAAUUGUGUUUGUACUCUCCCCUG
ensembl:snRNA U1 U1 spliceosomal RNA